rnacentral:rRNA from 1 species
CCUACGGGUGGCAGCAGUGGGGAAUAUUGCACAAUGGGGGAAACCCUGACGCAGCGACGCCGCGUGAGUGAAGAAGUAAUUCGUUAUGUAAAGCUCUAUUAGCAGGGAAGAAAAUGACGUUACCUGACUAAGAAGCCCCGGCUAACUACGUGCCAGCAGCCGCGGUAAUACGUAGGGGGCAAGCGUUAUCCGGAUUUACUGGGUGUAAAGGGAGCGUAGACGGCAGUGCAAGUCUGGAGUGAAAGGCGGGGGCUCAACCCCGGGACUGCUCUGGAAACUGGACGGCUUGAGUGCAGGAGAGGUGAGUGGAAUUCCUAGUGUAGCGGUGAAAUGCGUAGAUAUUAGGAGGAACACCAGUGGCGAAGGCGGCUUACUGGACUGUAACUGACGUUGAGGCUCGAAAGCGUGGGGAGCAAACAGGAUUAGAUACCCCAGUAGUC